AGUGAACGCUGGCGGUAGGCCUAACACAUGCAAGUCGAACGGCAGCACAGUAAGAGCUUGCCCUUACGGGUGGCGAGUGGCGGACGGGUGAGGAAUACAUCGGAAUCUACUUUUUCGUGGGGGAUAACGUAGGGAAACUUACGCUAAUACCGCAUAUGACCUACGGGUGAAACCAGGGGAUCUUCGGACCUUGCGCGACUGAAUGAGCCGAUGUCGGAUUAGCUAGUUGGCGGGGUAAAGGCCCACCAAGGCGACGAUCCGUAGCUGGUCUGAGAGGAUGAUCAGCCACACUGGAACUGAGACACGGUCCAGACUCCUACGGGAGGCAGCAGUGGGGAAUAUUGGACAAUGGGCGCAAGCCUGAUCCAGCCAUGCCGCGUGGGUGAAGAAGGCCUUCGGGUUGUGAAGCCCUUUUGUUGGGAGAGAAAAGAAGCAGAUUAAUACGCCGCUGUUCUGACGGUACCCAAAGAAUAAGCUCCGGCUAACUUCGUG
rnacentral:rRNA from 1 species